UGUAAACCAAACCACUUUCUCUGCAUCAUCUGUAUGACUUAUUUGGAUAUUUUGUUGUAAAAUGUAAGAAAGAGAAUAUGCUGAUCCAGAUGCACUUUGACAAACUGGAUCAUUCUUUAUGUGCUUGCUUACAAACAACAUCCAUGCCACAGCAGGAUGAAAAACUAGUACAUUUUAACAAGAAACAACGAUACCAUUCUCCCGCCUUCUGCAUCAGAAAAGCAGGAAUUCCUUGUGCCCAUUACCUCAUCCUAUCAAUGGGCACCAACGAGAAGAGUCUGGAUCCAUCUUCUUUACACCCAACAGGUGAAAUGAACAUCAGAAGGAUAUAGGUGCCAACCUGCUAUCAAGGUAGAAAAGUAGUUUUUACUCAUUUUCAAUACCAUUUAAGAACUCAGCUAAGUACCUUGCACAUGGAUAAGCUUAUUGAUUCACAUUGUAGGAAUUUUUACACAGACAAAAGAUCACAUAGUAGAAUUGUCUUACUGGGAAAACAGUGAGAUGACAAAAAAAAAUAUUGCAUAGAUCUAGUUAUUUCUUCUUAUUGCUGUGCUGGUGCUAAUGUACUUUUACUCGGGUUAUUUAUAGGAUUACAAUUAAAUUCUUGCACUUUGAUUUUGUUGAUUGACCUUUGAUAUGAGUUUACAGGAAUUGUGCUUGGGUGCAAUGUUUCAUUUACUUUUUACUGUCACUGCUAUUUGUUUUUGUUAUUUUGGUUUUGGUUUGGUUUUUGGCUUUAGUUUGGUUUCCGAAGUUAAAAGGUAGGAGAGACAGACACAGAUGUAUUUCAUAACAAGCUGAGAGAAUUUAGUGAGCAGAGAGAGAACUAUUGCUCUAAGUCCUUGACUUACACUUUCUACAAUACUUUCUUCCUGGAUGCUUCAGGUUUCCCUGCAAAUCCUAUUAUUUUGAUGCCUGAGACCCUGAGACUUUCCAUUUCAGCAAACUCUUUAAGAAAAGAAACUUUUCUCCAGUUCCUUGGGUUGUUUUUGUUUGGUUGGUGGUUGUUGUUUGUUUUUUUUUUUUAAUAAGAGAGCAGGAACUCAUUGAUAGGAAACAAAAUCUGGAAAGCUCACCCCAAAUUCUGCUUCAUAUUUAGAGUGAAUGGAAGGAAAACCUCUAGGAAGAAAUUUUUUUUUUUUGCUUUUUUUUUUUUUUUUGGUCCCACCUUGGAGUGUCAAUUAGGAGAGUAUGAUUUUGUCCAAAUCACUUUUUACAUAUGGGCUAAUAAACAGACCUAAACAGACCUAUCCAAGUUCAUCAGUUUAGGAUAUGGCCUUAAUUGGCAUUAAUCCUCAAAUGAAGUAUAAUAAUUUUGAAAUUUUCCAAUUUUAAGCUCAUUAAUCAAAUAUCAAAAUUUAUUCUUACAUAUCUGCACACGAUAUGUAGAUAUCCAUUAUGUGAAAUCCAACUUUACUCAUCACUUCUUCCUUCUCCCUUUGCCAUAAAAGGCCAGAUCACACCAAAGGUCUUGUCUCUAGCUAUUUAUUUCUAAGGAUCAGUUUAAAAAAAAAAAAAAAAAAAAAAAAAAAAAAAACCCUGUUACUUCCACCAAACACUCCUUGUCUCCUGUGUUAUGUCUCAGAAACUUUUUUUGUCCUUCUAUAUGACUAAUUGUAUUUACCUAUAUAAACGUUGAAGCAAUACUUCUGUUCUGCUACAGUUCAUUACAGAGCAAAAGGGACUGUGCAUGGUUCAGUCUCUAAGGAUUAACAUCUUACAUAAGCCUAUAACCAUUAUGCUAGGGUCAGAACCUUUUCACUGUAUAAACAAUAGUAUUAUUGCUUUCAGAAAAAAAAAAAAAAAAAAAAGUGAUGUAAGAGUAAAGCCUUCAAAAUCAACUUUUUUUCAAAGCAGUUUUAUGUUUAUUUUUGUGUUUGUUUUUGUUUGUUUGUUUCAUCCAUACGAUCUCACACUUUCAAAGAUGGUGGGAUUUUUCUUUCCUUUUUUUUUUUUUUAUUUAUUUUAUUAUUUUUUAAUUUUGUGCAAAGAAUUGAUAGAGGUACUGUAAGAAUGGUCUUAAAACAUUUUGGGUCUUAACGCUUUCUAUAAAAAGGUUUCUCUUGUCCCUGUACAGUUGUUCAGAAAAUACUGCUUGUGGAUUAACUCUAUUGCUCUCCAGCUUAAGUGGGACUAACUCUGGAACAGUGUUAAAUCUUGCCUGCAAAGAUUUAUGUAAAUGCUAUUUAAUUUAGAAUGAUUCAAAAUACAUGUUUGUGCUCUGACAAUAACUAUUCCAUUGCAAUGAAAUAAUUUAAAUAAAGGUCAUUAGAUGUUACAUUUUAAACAGCUCUGAGUUUUUAAGCCAUGUAUAUGCUAUAUCAAAUUUUGA